rnacentral:rRNA from 1 species
CUUUUGUGGGGUGCUCGAGUGGCGAACGGGUGAGUAACACGUGAGUAACCUGCCCUUGACUUUGGGAUAACUUCAGGAAACUGGGGCUAAUACCGGGUAGGAGCUCCUGCUGCAUGGUGGGGGUUGGAAAGUUUCGGCGGUUGGGGAUGGACUCGCGGCUUAUCAGCUUGUUGGUGGGGUAGUGGCUUACCAAGGCUUUGACGGGUAGCCGGCCUGAGAGGGUGACCGGCCACAUUGGGACUGAGAUACGGCCCAG